CCCUUAGAUGUUCUGGGCCGCACGCGCGCUACACUGAUGCAUUCAACGAGUUUCUUCCUGGUCCGAGAGGAAUGGGUAACCUUUUGAAAGUGCAUCGUGAUAGGGAUAGACUAUUGCAAUUAUUGGUCUUCAACGAGGAAUUCCUAGUAAACGCGAGUCAUCAACUCGCAUUGAUUACGUCCCUGCCCUUUGUACACACCGCCCGUCGCUACUACCGAUUGAAUGGCUUAGUGAGCUUUCUGGACUGUUGCUUUUCGUUGGAAACUUCGUUAAGCAUACGGGAAGGAAAUCAAACUUGAUCAUUUAGAGGAAGUAAAAGUCGUAACA
rnacentral:rRNA from 1 species